ACUGCACUCCAGCCUGGGCGACAGAACGAGACUCCGUCUCAAAAAAAAAAAAAGUUGAGUCGGGAUCUCUGAAGCUAAGCAGGGUCGGGCCUGGUUAGUACUUGGGAGACCGCCUGGGAACACCGGGUGCUGUU
rnacentral:rRNA from 1 species